GACGAACGCUGGCGGCGUGCUUAACACAUGCAAGUCGAACGGAAAGGCCCUGCUCUUGUGGGGUGCUCGAUUGGCGAACGGGUGAGUAACACGCGAGUAACCUGCCCUUGACUUUGGGAUAACUUCACGAAACUGGGGCUAAUACCGGAUAGGAGCUCCUGCUGCAUGGUGGGGGUUGGAAAGUUUCGGCGUUUGGGGAUGGACUGGCGGCUUAUCGGCUUGUUGGUGGGGUAGUGGCUUACCAAGGCUAUGACGGGUAGCCGGCCUGAGAGGGUGACCGGCCACAAUGGGACUGAGAGACGGCGCAGUCUGGUACGGGAGGCAACAGUGGGGAGUAUUGCACAGUGGGCGGAAGUCUGAUGCAAAGGCGCCGCGUGCGGAAUGCCGGCCUUCGGGUUGUGAACCGCUUUCGACUGUGACGAAGCGUGAGUGACGGUAAUGGGUAAAGAAGCACCGGCUAACUACGUG
rnacentral:rRNA from 1 species